rnacentral:rRNA from 1 species
GGGCCCGCACAAGCGGUGGAGCAUGUGGUUUAAUUCGAUGAUACGCGAGGAACCUUACCAGGGCUUAAAUGUAGUAUGACCGGCUUGGAAACAGGCCUUCUCUUCGGAGCAGAUUACAAGGUGCUGCAUGGUUGUCGUCAGCUCGUGCCGUGAGGUGUUAGGUUAAGUCCUGCAACGAGCGCAACCCCUAUUCUUAGUUGCCAGCGGUUCGGCCGGGGACUCUAAGAAGACUGCCAGCGCAAGCUGAGAGGAAGGUGGGGAUGACGUCAAAUCAUCACGGCCCUUACGUCCUGGGCUACACACGUGCUACAAUGGUGGGGACAACAGGUUGCCAACCCGCGAGGGUGAGCC